rnacentral:lncRNA from 1 species
AUAAUAGUGUUUUAUUUUUCACAGAGGUUAAAUUUCACAAUUUCUAGGGCCAAAAUAUUUCACAAGUUUAAAUUUCACAAUUUCAAGGGCCGAGGUUUAUCACAGGUUUAAAUUGCACAAUUUCUAAAGCCUUAUUAUUAAGUGGUGGAUUCAGAAAUUUUUACAAGGGGGGCACCCACUGCCUGCCGAAGAGGAGACCCGCUCAGGUCAUGUUUCAGGGACUCCUUUCAUAAUCAACCAAAUUUAACAAUUUCUAGGUCAAAGUAUUUCAUGAGGUUCUAUUUUUUAAUGCACUGUAACUGAUCUCCUUCAAAGAUCUAUUAUAUUGAACCUGCAGGGUUGUUAUUUUUGUGAUUUUUUUAAUUGCGAAAUAAGAAAAAAAUUAAACCCUCUAUUGAAAAUUUGACACUGUACAGUAUAGUAGAUGUUGGAACAACAUGCGAAAUGAAAAGUACUAAUAGCAGGAAUAAUUGUUG